rnacentral:rRNA from 1 species
UACGAAGGGGGCUAGCGUUGCUCGGAAUCACUGGGCGUAAAGGGUGCGUAGGCGGGUCUUUUAAGUCAGGGGUGAAAUCCUGGAGCUCAACUCCAGAACUGCCUUUGAUACUGAAGAUCUUGAGUUCGGGGAGAGUGAGUGGAACUGCGAGUGUAGAGGUGAAAUUCGUAGAUAUUCGCAAGAACACCAGUGGCGAAGGCGGCUCACUGGCCCGAUACUGACGCUGAGGCACGAAAAGCGUGGGGGAGCAAACAGG